AGAACAAUGUACAAAUGUUAUCGAUAAACAAUUGGAGGGCAAGUCUGGUGCCAGCAGCCGCGGUAAUUCCAGCUCCAAUAGCGUAUAUUAACGUUGUUGCAGUUAAAAAGCUCGUAGUUGAAUUGAAGUGAACUUGGGUUGAUGUGAUCUUCGGAUGACAUGAAUCAAAGUUGACUCUUUCCAAAGUCAAUACAUUGGUAUUCAUUUAUCUUUGUAUUGUGUUUGGUCAUUUACUGUGAGAAAAUUAGAGUGUUCAAAGCAGACGUUUGUUUGAAUACAUUAGCAUGGAAUAAUCAUAUAUGGCUUUCAUGUUGAUUUGAUUGGUUUGAAUAUGGAAGCAAGAUUAAAAGGGACAGUUGGGGGUAUUCAUAU
rnacentral:rRNA from 1 species